UAGAGAUAGCUGGUUGCUCAAGAAAAGAGUAUCAGCCCUGCCUUAAAAUUGUUUAACAGCCUAAAAAGCACAAAACACCUAUUAAGACCUAUUCUAUCCGGGUACAGCCGGAUAGAAAAAGGAAACAACCUCCAACCCCGGGUAAAGACUAUAACAUGUAAGGGAACUAAAGCCAGUGGGCCUAAGAGCAGCCACCUGAGAAGAAAGCGUCAAAGCUCGCUUCACCAUAACCCCCCAGCAAUACAAGCACCUUAUCUCAACCCACCACCCCUACUGAGCUAUUCCAUAUCUUAUGGAAGAACUUAUGCUAGAACCAGUAACAAGGAUUCAAAGUCCUCCUUAUGCAAGUGUAAAGCAGAUCGAAUACAUCGCUGCUAACUAACGCCCUCAAUGAAAGAAUUGAAGCCACCUAACAAGAAAACCCUUCUUCCCUACAAACGUUAACCUAACACAAGAGCAUACAAGUGAAAGACAUAGAGAUCGGGAAGGAACUCGGCAAACAUGAACCCCGCCUGUUUACAAAAACAU
rnacentral:rRNA from 1 species